rnacentral:misc_RNA from 1 species
AACGCACCUUGCGCUCCUUGGUAUUCCGAGGAGCAUGCCUGUUUGAGUGUCAUUAAAUUCUCAACCUUUAUCAACUUUUGUUGAUGAAUGGCUUGGAUAUGGGAGUUGCUGGUUUCUCUUUUGAGAUCAGCUCUUCUGAAAAGCAUUAGCUGGUUGCCUUGUGCAAACUUGUCUAUUGGUGUGAUAAUUAUCUACGCCGUUGACUGUUUGUCAGUUUAAGCACUGCUUCCAAUCGUCUGUACAGACAAUUUAUGACCAUUUGACCUCAAAUCAGGUAGGACUACCCGCUGAACUUAA